rnacentral:rRNA from 1 species
GACGAACGCGGCGGCGUGCCUAAUACAUGCAAGUAGAACGCUGAAGAGAGGAGCUUGCUCUUCUGGAUGAGUUGCGAACGGGUGAGUAACGCGUAGGUAACCUGCCUUGUAGCGGGGGAUAACUAUUGGAAACGAUAGCUAAUACCGCAUAACAAUGGAUGACACAUGUCAUUUAUUUGAAAGGGGCAAUUGCUCCACUACAAGAUGGACCUGCGUUGUAUUAGCUAGUAGGUGAGGUAACGGCUCACCUAGGCGACGAUACAUAGCCGACCUGAGAGGGUGAUCGGCCACACUGGGACUGAGACACGGCCCAGACUCCUACGGGAGGCAGCAGUAGGGAAUCUUCGGCAAUGGGGGCAACCCUGACCGAGCAACGCCGCGUGAGUGAAGAAGGUUUUCGGAUCGUAAAGCUCUGUUGUAAGUCAAGAACGAGUGUGAGAGUGGAAAGUUCACACUGUGACGGUAGCUUACCAGAAAGGGACGGCUAACUACGUGCCAGCAGCCGCGGUAAUACGUAGGUCCCGAGCGUUGUCCGGAUUUAUUGGGCGUAAAGCGAGCGCAGGCGGUUUGAUAAGUCUGAAGUUAAAGGCUGUGGCUCAACCAUAGUUCGCUUUGGAAACUGUCAAACUUGAGUGCAGAAGGGGAGAGUGGAAUUCCAUGUGUAGCGGUGAAAUGCGUAGAUAUAUGGAGGAACACCGGUGGCGAAAGCGGCUCUCUGGUCUGUAACUGACGCUGAGGCUCGAAAGCGUGGGGAGCGAACAGG